UACGGAGGGUGCAAGCAUUGAUCGGAAUUACUGGGCGUAAAGGGCGCGUAGGCGGCAAAGCAAGUCAGAUGUGAAAUUCCGGGGCUCAACCCCGGAGCUGCAUUUGAAACUACUUAGCUAGUGUGCAGUUAGGGUAAACGGAAUUCCACGUGUAGCGGUGAAAUGCGUAGAUAUGUGGAAGAACACCGGUGGUGAAAACGGUUUACUGGGCUGUAACAGACGCUGAAGCGCGAAAGCAUGGGGAGCAAACAGG
rnacentral:rRNA from 1 species